CUCUCUUUUCCCUGUAUGAACUUGAUUCAUGGUUGGUUUUGUAACUCUACUACUAUCUUUUCUGCUCAUUAGUCAUAUUAUUGGGGCUUAGGAAAAGUCAGUAAUUUUGUAAGAUAGCAAAAUGUAUUACGUAUUAUCACACUGAAGUAUAAUAAAGAAUACCUUUUUUCUAUAUUUGUGUACACACAUUUUAAUGUUAAAUUAUUAAUCUAUCUUUAUACUGUCUAAGAUAGCUUACCAAACACGGUACUAACAUACAUAAACAACUUAUUCAUCAUUUUAACAAUGUCAGUAGUACAUCAAUCUUGCGAAUAAUGCUUAGGAAAAUAGAUAGGGAAAAA
rnacentral:lncRNA from 1 species